rnacentral:lncRNA from 1 species
GUGCAGAGGUUAAAAACACGCCUCUUUUUUCGGCGCUCCUUUUUUCUCUCUUGACAUCAGGCUAUUUCUUCUAAACCCAAAACAAAUUUCAUCCUUCACACGUCUCUCUCUUCAAGGAUCAAGCAGCCGCCGAAUCUUUUUCUGGAUAAGAUUUUGAAAAUUAUACUUGGAAUUCUCCAUCUUCUUUCCACUUUUCUAAUGGUAAAUUUCAGUUUCGAGUUUAGGGUUUAAAAACCCCCCUUUUAAAAUACGAUUGAGAAGGGGCUAAACUAGAAGGUUUUGCUUGCCUCUUAUUUCACUUUUGGAUAUUCUAUUUUGAUUGAAUCUCUGAAUUUUCUGUAAUUUUUCUUGAUUUUGUUGACAUCCUGAUUCUCUAAAUCGUAAAUCUUAAUUGGGACGUGUUCUAAAUUGUUAGCAAUGUUUUUUUCUCUUUUGCAGAUUCACAUAGUCCCUUUUGAACGUUCUUUUGUUUUCUUCAAGAAUUGCAUAUUAGUUACUG